rnacentral:rRNA from 1 species
UACGUAGGGGGCAAGCGUUGUCCGGAAUCAUUGGGCGUAAAGCGCGUGUAGGCGGCUUGGUAAGUCCGCUCUGAAAGCCCGGGGCUCAACCCCGGGAGGCGGGUGGAUACUGUCAAGCUCGAGUCCGGAAGAGGCGAGUGGAAUUCCUGGUGUAGCGGUGAAAUGCGCAGAUAUCAGGAGGAACACCAAUGGCGAAGGCGGCAUCCUGGACCAACACUGACGCUGAUGAGCGAAAGCCAGGGGAGCAAACGGG